CAAGGAGGAGCAACUUCCUGGGCAUGCGUGUUAAGAGACAAAAUCGUGGAGUAUGGCCUUCUGGGGGCACAUUGCCGGGUGAGGGAAGAAAGCCUCAGAUGGGAAUGGAUAUAACUUCCUAAACACACCGUGCAUGCUCACUUCCUAAAGGAUGGAUAAAGCAACUUGGAACCAAUUAAAAAUAGCUGGGUCUGGUGUCAGGCGACGUGGAUCACAUCAUUUCACCUGUCUCAGCCUCAGUAAUCACUUAGAGAUCCCAUAGCUAAAGGCUUAUAGGCAGAAUGGACUUGCCUUGUCUCAGAUGAGACUUUGGACUUGGAAUUUUGGGUUAAUGCUGGAAUGAGAAGACUUUGGGAGACUGUCGGAAAGAAGGCAGUGAAUGGAUGACCUACUGAAAAUAUCAUUCGUGAGAAGACAACAUUUAAUGCACUGGACCAUGAAGAGUUUGCUAUACUUAGCAAAAAAAAAAAUAACACUCCCAGGGCUGUAUCCUUACUGAUGAUGAAAAGGCAAGUCUGUAUGCUGAAAAUGCUGACAUUCCAGACAGAUGGAUGUCUUAUUUCAAAGUUCUCCUGAACAAGCCAUGAAGAACAGCAUUAGCUGACCCUCAGGGUGUGAUUGACUUUGCUACACAGAGCAGCAAGAGUGACCUCAAUUCCAUAUCCAUCAGUGAGAUUUAUGACUCAAUUGUAAAAAGCAAAAAAUGCAUUAAAUGCUAAUGGAAUAUACAAUGAAAAUCUUAUAAGAAAUAUACACAUGCAUGAUGCAUGCACACAUGUAUGUACAUGGAUAUAUUCGAUUGUAGCUUUGCCAGGAAGAAGAGCCACUGGUGUAUGAAUCUUCCUGAUCCAGAAGUGUUUGAAAAUUAUGAGGAAAAAUGUAUUUUAAAAUCAUGGCCUCAUCUUCCUUUUGAUGCUUGUAAUGAUCUUGAAAAAUUCUCUUAAUGUUUUUUGUUGAGGAGUAAGUCUGAGUAGGUUGGAUUUAUGCAUAAUCAUUUUAUGGUUGAGCAAAGUUUUAUGUUCCUCUACAGCCAUCCAAGAGAGACUGGGAUUUCUUCCAGGGCUAUCCCAGGCUUCAUUAAUUUUAAGGCCACCUUCAAAUACACAGAUCAUAGUUACUUAAGAAGAAUUCUUAUACCAUAAGGACAAAUAAAUUUUCUAUUGGAUAUUCAUGCAUUUGAUUCUAUUCCAAAAAAUAUUGGGUAUAUUUUCUGAAAUUCUGGGGACCGAUGCCAAAUUGAACACAUUCAAAGAUGGGAUAAUCUAGCUUAGGAAUAGUUUAUGCAAAAAACAUUUGAGUUUAUUCUUCAUCAUUUUUUUCCUAUUGGAGUUAAAAUAAUAACAGAAGACUUGAAUAAUGCCAUUUGCAGCUUAAAGUCAGAAGUAGAAAUUGGGGUUAGAAUCAGGUAUCUAAUAGUCUAAAACCUCUGGUCUUAUAUCCACAGAACUCGGAAAAAAAAGAUAAAGAAAAUUUAUUUUUUCUUGACAAAGAAUUUUGGUUUAUAGAAUGUUAGGCUUUCAUGGAGCCUGAAAAUCACCAGCUCCCACCUCACCCCAUCUCCCAUAUCUCUCAUGGUAUUUUUGUCAUAUGAUCAUUCAUCCAACCUCUGCCUUAUAUCCUAGGCAGUUCCACAGUUGGAAAGAUCUAGUGGCUGAAAUUGUUGAUAUGGAGACAAAACUUCCUCCCCAAAGUGCUUAUUAAUUGUUUCUGGAUCUAUCUCUGAAUAGGAGAGAAGAUUUGUUCCUCUUGUUGACUGACUGUUUUUAUCCAUUUUAGGAAAGCGAUUGUGCUCUUCCCCGGUCUUGUUCAGGCUAAGCAGAGUUAAACCCACAAACUUUGGAGUCCAAUAGAGAUAAGAUUCCUCCUUGCCCUUCCUAUUUUUGUGAUCUUAUUGAACCAUUCUUAGUUUCCCUUUCUGUAAAAUAGCGAUGAAGCAACUGACCUUCCGUAGCUCUGAGGAUUAAAUAACAAUGCAGGCUCUUGACAGAUGUUAGCUACUAUUUUUAUUUUUUUCAACUAUUCUUAUGUAACAUAAAUCCUUAAGAGCUAGAAUAGAUACAGAUAAAUUUGAUUUGAAUCCAUUUUUUUUAAAGCAAAUACGUAAUUCCCGGAAAUUUCUGGAAGUGUGUGUGUGUCUGUGUCUGGGUCUGCAUCUGUGUGGGGUGCAGUUGUGUUUCUCUGGCAUCUCUGGCUCUGGCAUUUUGUCUCCACUUAAGUUUUGCUUUUUGUUUUGUCUUUAUUCCUAGAUAGUCAAUCUAAACAUGAAGUUUAACCUCUUUGAUCUGAUGCACACCCACACGCAGGCACGUGCAGGCAUGUGCGCACACACACACACACACAUCCACACACACACACACCCAUGUCAAGUCUCUGAACAUGCAACAACUUUGAUAAAGGGUUGGGAGAUUAAGAGAACUUUAUUUUGCAGCACAUGAAAACUGAAAAUUCAAUAUCUGACAUUUUUAUUCUAAAACAUUUUCUUGCAUCAGCUACGUGUCUUUUUGCCAACUCUCUUUUUUCCUCUUCUUGCUCUCCAGACCAAAACUACCAAAAUUCCUCUGAGAAUAUCUUCCCUAAUUAAAAUAAUCAAAUUUGUAAGACUUAAUUGGUUAAAAUCUAAGAAUAGUAGUGAUCAGUUUGUCUCUAAUUAAUACAUUCCUUUUGGGGUGGAUCUUAUUCCUUCAUAAAGAUUCCAUAACAAAAUAAUGUUAUUCUGUAGAGAGCUUUCUGCACUGCCAAUUUGAGAAGGCAAUGCAGCUAUUCACAGAAGAUCUUUAAACAAGAGCAGUUUUUAUUACUUUGAAAUCACUUGCAGAUGUUAUUCACUAUCUUUGCAGUUGCCAUAAGAUCAAACUCAGAUAUGGCACUUGUUACAGCCAUCUGUUUAAUGCUUCAUUGAGAAACUUCAUCAUUCCAGCUUUUUCAGGAUUAUUUUUGUGAGCCCAAAUCUCUGCAAAGGUGAAUGUUUAAAACCUAAGUACUUACUUUUGGAGUUUAAAGUCUGUCUUCACUGCUAGAUGAGACAGUAAGCUAUGUGAGGGCAGGCAUCCUGGCUGUGUUGUUUCCUGCUGUUUGCACAUCCCUUGGCACAAUGUAUGCCACAUGAUAGAGUUUCAAUCAAUGUUGGUUGAAUGAAUGAAUGCAUGAACACAUUUUUAAGAUAUGGUACAUAAUAAAAAUGCAAAAAGGACCCUUAAUUUAUUUUUAGAUAAGGAAGCCAGGGCCUUAAUAACUGUUUAAAGUGCCCAGCUUUUAGAAAUCAAGACCAAAAUUUUAAUGAUUAUAAGAAAUUAUUUUGGAAAUGGUUGAGAUCUUUCUACUACUCAUGUCAGAAUAAUAACUUGGUGAACAAUAGUACUGGAGUAACCUGUUAUUAUUUGAAUAAAUGUAGAUAGAAUUUUUACAAGACCUUUCUGUUAGAUUUAAACACACAGCUGCCCCUCCCCACCCUCCCUCUGACUCCCUGUCAAAGGUCAAAGGCAGAUUAGCAUAGAGGUCUUGGGGGGAACUCUGAAUUCAGGCGGUCUGAGCUCAAAUCUUUACUCUGUACAUCCCGAAUCAUGUAUUCCUGGCAAUCUGAAUAACUCUGCUUCAGUUCCUCACUUGGAAAAUAGAGGUUGUAAUGUACCCGCAUCCUAGUGUUACUUUAUAUUUCUAUUCAACAGUGCCCUUUCUUUCCCUGCCCGCUUUGCUUUGCUUGCCUGCCUGCCUGCCUGCCUGCCUGCCUUCCUUCCUUCCUUCCUUCCUUCCUUCCUUCCUUCCUUCCUUCUUCCUUCCUUCCUUCCUCUCUUUCUUUCUCUCUCUCUUUCUCUGUUUAGCUUUCUUGCUUGCCAAAGUGGCAUCCCCUUAAUUGCUUCCUUUUUUCUAUAAUAAUAUCCUAAUCUACUUUAUAUGAAGUUGAAACAAAAUUGAUUCAACUUUUUCUUGGCCUUCAAAUGGGUGUUUCUAGCCCCCUCAAAGAAAAUGUAGUAAAUUUAAAUGAGCAGGGAAAUAUAAUGUUUAAACUAUGAUUUGGAUUAUCCUUUGUUUUCUAUAUGGAGCCCUUUUUCCCCCAAGCUGAGCAGCACUAUGGUAGCUAUCACAUUGUUAUCGCUACUGCUUUGUUUUAUUCAUUUUAAGACACAUAUGUUUUUCACAUUUCAACAUCUCUGAAACUGGGAUGCAUUGUAAAAUCUACAGAGCCUUGUAGCUACUGUCAGUCAUGCAUCAAAGAGACUUUGUCAUUCUUUGUGUGUGCAUGAAUUAAGUCCUGGCUGUACAUAUUGUCCUUUCACUGUACUUCUGUGCAUUGCCAAUACUACACAUUGUUUAAUCGUGAUUUAAAAUGUCUAAGCCUGGCACAAUGGCUCACGCCUAUAAUAACAAUGACUUGAGAGGCUGAGAAAGGAGAUUGUUUGAGGGUAGGACUUUGAGAGCAGCGUGAGCAACAUAGCAAGACUCCAUCUCUAAAAAUAUUUUUGAAACAUUAGCUGGUGUGGUGGUGCAUGCCUGUAGUCCUAGCUGCUCAAGAGGCUGAGGUGGGGGAUCACUUGAGCCCAGAAGUUCAAUGCUGCAGUGAGCCAUGAUGGUAUCACUACACUCCAGCCUGGAUAGACAGAGUGAGACCCCAAUAUUUAAAACUUUAAAAUAUAUUAAUCUAUGAUUUGGCAUUACAAUUAAAAGUUAUGUAGAAAAGCAAAGAAACUGCAGUAAGACUUUUUUUUUUUUGAGACGGAGUCUCACUCUGUCACCCAGGCUGGAGUGCAAUGCCGUGAUUUCAGCUCACUGCAACCUCCACCUCCCAGGUUCAAGCGAUUCUCAUGCCUCAGCCUCCUGAGUAGCUGGGAUUGUAGGCACCUGCCACCAUGCCUGACUAAUUUUUGUAUUUUUAGUAGAGAUGGGAUUUCACCAUGUUGGUUAGGCUGGUCUUGAACUCCUGACCUCAGGUUAUAUAUCCACCUCGGCCUCCCAAAGCGUUCAGAUUACAGGAACGAGCCACUGCAUCUGACCAUAAGACUCUUAAUGAAACAAAUAUUCAUUAUUGCAUGAAUAACCACAAUUCCAUUCUUUUAUUUGAAAACAAAUUCAAGUGUUUUGUGGAAACUGAUGGAGUUCAGAAAAUAUAUAAAAUAAUGCUGUAUCAUAUAACUGGUGUCAUCUUAUAUUCAUUGAAAUAAAGUAAAUUUUUAGAGGGCCCAAAAUUGCAAUACAUUUUAAAGGUAUAUUACUUAAGUGCUUCCCAUGUAUAACACAACAAAUAUGCUGGAUGUUGUAUGAGUCUCCUAAGGCUGCCACAAAAUCACCACAAACUAGGUCACUUAAAAUAACGGAAAUUUAUUGUCUUAACAGUUCUGGAGGCUAAAUGAUCAAAAUCAAUGUGUCAGCAGGGCCCUGCUCCCUCUAAAACCUGUAGGGGAAAAUCUUUCCUUGCUUGUUCCUAGAUUCUCAUGGUUACCAUCAAUUGUUGGCAUUCUUCAGUUUACAACUGCAUCACUCUAAUCUCUGCUUCUGUUGUCUCAUGGCAUUCUGCCUGUGUGUCUGUAUUUUGACGUCUUCUUUACCUCUUGUAAAGACCCCAGUUAUAUUGAAUUUGGGUCUAAUCCAAUGACUUUAUCUUAAUUUAAUUACUUCUGUAAAACUAAACUUUCCAAAUAAGAUCACAUUCACAAGUACCAUAAGUUAGGAGUUCAACAUGGUUUUUUUUUGACAGACACAAUUCAACCUCUUAACGGAUGCUAUUUUGGAAGAGAAAAGAUGACAUAAGUAUAUGUUCAGCCCAAAAAUUUAUUUCAUUCUGGUAGAAGAGAAUACACACACACACACACUCACACACACACACACAACCACGUGCAUGCAUACACAAACACACAACAGGACAAGCUGUAAAGAAAUAGCUAUCAUAAGAAAACGUAGGCAAAAAGCCAGAAGAGUUAAAAGGAAGAAAAUAUUACUUUAAUAGUACUUGUCUUCUAGUAACUUCCAUUCCAAACAAUGCAUAGAACCAUAAACAUGUUGGGACUUUGUCUACUAGCACAGCAGUGUUCAUUAAAUAAUUAACUAAUUCCAUUUCUUGAUGUUUAAUAUGUAAUAGUGCUAUGUUCUCCUCUAUAGAUAACCUAAGAACUUAUAUCUAGAUUUAUUUACAACUUCCAAUAAUGAUCACCGCUUCCCAUUUAACCUGUGAGGUUAGUCAUAAAAAGAUUAUUUUUAGUAUUUAAUAUAGAAAUGUUAAAUAUAAAGUAUGUAAGAAUAAAACAAUUCUAUUUUUUAAUAUUAACUUUACUCCAGGGACUUGAAAUAAAUAAUAUAUUUUCCUUUUUUAAAGGAAAUCAGUUACCUUUUUUAAAA
rnacentral:lncRNA from 1 species